AGAAAUAUCGCUGUUCUCGAAUAUUUUGAAAAAAUGAUUUUUGAAAAAACCUAAAUAUUGAUCGUUUAAAGCUAUUUAAAUUACUUAUAUAUAAAAUGGUUUUGUAUCCUCGCAAUAAUUAUAAAAGAUAUUUGGGCACUCAUUCUUAAAUGAGACACCCUGUAUAUCAUGUGUGAAAGUUGUGCAGAAGCAACGUGAACGAAUUAUGUAUGGUACAUGUUUUUGAUAACCUAUUCACUUCUAUUACAAGAAUAUCUGAAAUUAGUGAAUUAAAGAAUUAAAGUGUUAUACUUUAAUACGUAGUAAACUGUACUAUAUGCAAUCAUAAUUUAAUAUAAGACAUUAUCAGCAUUCAAUGAAAUUUAAAUGACUGUAAUGUAAUUUACUUUUGGAAUAAGAUGCAUCGCAAUAUAUAUCGUACAUUAAGUGUUCAAGUUUUACAAAAACGUUUUUUCAAAAAGGAGCAAGUAAGAGUUAGGUUUGCACCCAGUCCAACUGGUUUAUUACACUUAGGAGGUUUACGAACUGCAUUAUAUAAUUAUUUAUUUGCACGAGCUAAUAAUGGUGCAUUUAUAUUACGAAUUGAGGACACAGAUCAAAGUAGAUGUAUUCCAGGAGCAAUGGAAAAGAUUCAAAAUGAUUUGUUAUGGUGUGGAAUUAUAGCUGAUGAGAGCCCUAUAAGAGGAGGACCUACUGGACCAUAUAUUCAGUCAAAACGACUUGACAUAUACAAAGAACAAGUACUUAAACUUUUAAGUAAUCAAUCUGCAUAUUACUGUUUCUGCACAGAAAGCAGACUGCAGUUAUUGCGAAGAAUCGCUUUGAAGUGUGGACAGGUGCCUAAAUAUGAUAACAAAUGUCGGCAUUUGAGUAGUGAUAAAGUAAAAGAAAAACUCGAUAAAGGACUUCCAUAUUGUAUCAGAUUUAAGUUAUCAUCUACACCAGAAUAUUUUAAUGAUAUGAUAUAUGGUGAAAUAACACAUGAUAUUGUACAAUCUGAAGGAGAUCCAAUUAUUAUAAAAUCAGAUGGUUAUCCGACUUAUCAUUUUGCAAAUGUUGUUGAUGACCAUUUUAUGGAGAUAUCCCAUGUGUUACGAGGAAUUGAAUGGCAAAUAUCUACACCUAAGCAUAUAAUGAUGUAUAAAGCAUUUAAUUGGACACCUCCUAAGUAUGGACAUUUACCUUUAAUAUUAAAUGCAAAUGGAACAAAAUUAUCGAAGAGACAAAAUGAUAUAAAUAUUGAAUUUUUACGGAGACAAGGAAUUUUUCCAUUGGCAGUUCUAAAUUAUGUUAUACAUGCUGGUGGUGGCUUCAAUAACAAAGGGGGUGUCGAAUACAUCCACAGCUAUGAGGAGUUAAUUAAACAAUUUAAUAUUUCUGCUAUAAAAGUGAACUCCAAUAAACUGUUAUCCGAAAAACUGUUACAAUUUAAUAAGCUAGAAAUUACUAAAUUAUUGGCGAAUGAAAAAAAUAAUAAAUUCUUGAUUGAAAGAAUUAAAGAAUUAGUUAUAGAUGCAUUUCCAGAAAGACAUGCAGAUGGAACUUUACAAUUAGAUGAUCAUCAUAUACUUGCAAUAUUGAAAUGGGCACAGAGUAGAAUAUAUAAAUUAAGUGAUCUGGUGUCUAAAGAAUUAGCAUUUUUAUGGAUGAUACCAUCAGUGGCACCCGAUAUUAUAGAAUCGGAAUGUUUAGAUGUGCUUAAAAUAUUAAACAUGAAAUUACUUGAAACUGAUAUUCAUAAUUUUAAUAAGACAUGGAUCAAUACUUAUCUUAAAGAAUUUGCUAAUGAGCAUGAAAUUCCUUUUCCAACGCUGAUGAAAGUAUUACGUGGGAUUCUUAGUGGUUUAAAGGAUGGUCCACCUGUAGGUGAAAUGAUAGAAAUUUUAGGAAAAGACACUACAUUAUUAAGGAUAAAUCGUUGCAUUUCUUAAAGCUAAUUCUGUGAUUGAAUACAUCUGUGUGUAUAAAUAUCUCGAUGCUACCAUAUCUAUAGAUAUACAAAGCAUUAGGAAUCAUUCUAAUUGCCCAGAAAAAAUUGGAAAAAGAUUUACAUUGGAAUGGAAAUAUACAUAUACGAGAGGAUCGACUAAUUUUUGUAGUAUAGAUUGAGCAUCCGAUAACAUUCAAAAAGACAAGGCGUAAUAAAUGGAGUACUACAUUGAAUUGUAUAAUCGUGAAAGAUUUCUGGUUAUGUUAUUAACAGUUUAUUCUAAAGUGUACAUUGUAAAAAGAAGUUUACGACAUUGAGAAACAGUUUAACUGUUCUCUAUUCUUUGAAUUACUACAUUGAAACGCGUAAUAUUCUUUUCCGUUUGUUAGAAAAAUCUCCUGAUUCGUUUAAAGAAUGUGUUCUCUAACUUGGUUGAGUAUAUAUAUAUACAUAUUCAUUUAUAACAUGACACAGUCUGCAUCUUAAGCAUAUGAUGUGCGUUACUAUUUCAAAUUAUAGAUUUCUUUAUUAAUAGAUUUUAACUAUUUAUCAAUCAGUAAAUAUUUCUAUAUUGGAUAUAAAUAAAUUAAAAAAUUGAUACGAAAUCAUAGCCUAUAUAAAAUUGUAAUAUGUAACAUUCUUAAUUUACAAAAAUUUAUCGUUAUACAACCACGUAAAAAUAUAAUAAAUAACAAAAAUUAGAAAAUAUUUAAUUUUUUUCACAUAUAGCAUUAACAAAUGUUAAAAAGGUUCUUAUGUGAGAUAAAGUUAUUUUAGUAACUAUAUAAAAUAAUAAUUUGUUAUAGUGAUUAUUACUGCAUAAAUAAUAUAGAAAUUCAGUAGCGAUAUAAUCAUUACAUCGCAAUAAUUAUACAUACUGUUUAGUGUAAUGCUGUCUCUGCAUAAUAUCAAAGAAGUCAAAUGCAAAUAUUGCGCUUAAGAUCAAUAAUAAAAAAUAUAUUUCAAUGUACUUCGUUCAAAUUAAUACGAUCAAAUAAAUUAAUAUGUUGAUAAGAUAAUAAAUCAGUAACCAAUAUUCAAGUAUUGUAAUAUAGCAAUUCUUCUGUGAUUUUAAAAGAUCAAAUUUAGCAAUACAGUAUGUAAGUGCAAUACUGUUGUAAAUAUAGGUAUAUACGUAUAGCAAAUGUGCAGUUACCUUUAGAGAUUCAUACAAGACGCAUACAUCUACAUGCAACAGACACAGACAGGCAUUUAUACGCACAUACACAAAAGAGAUCUCAUAGUAUUAAAUGACUUAGGCUAUUAAAUGAUUAAAUUCGCUAUGAAGAAAACUUCUGGCUAAUAUAGCCUGUGUUUACAAUGCUCUAUUAAAGUGAAAAGGUACUUAACUAAAGGCAGGUACAAAAGGAGAUAUCAAGUCCCCAAACAAUUCAACCAUAGGCAGUCCUGAUAAGUAGAUCUUUGAGAAGUAAUGAUUGUUUCUUUUAAUUAUUGAUACUGAUGGUAGAAUAUUUGCCAACCACCCAAAUAUUAUAAAUCCGGGGUGACUGGAGUAGGGCAGAUAAUUAUUCUGAUCAUUGGUGUAUGAACUGAAUAAUUAAGAUACCUGAGCAUUUGAAAGCCUGGUGCAAUAUUAUGAUAAGGGAUAUGAUACGAGUAGACAACGGAAGUUACACAGAUACUGCUAGAAAUAUACAGAAUUAUUGAACUAUGUAUUAAUAAAUUAUUUUAUACACGAUUACAAGUUUUCUUUAACUUUAGUUUAUCUACUCGGAUUAAAUCCUACGUUACAAAGUUUUGACUUUUCAAAUACUGAGCUAUCGAUAAUAUCAGUAUCAUCAUACAGUUGAAAUCAGUUGACCGCUCAAGACUACUCUUUUAUCUUUCAAGCACGACAAACAUGUCUUUUACUUUCAUUGCAAGCUUAUAUACUUAUUUUAAAUUGUGUCUAUAGAUUUGCAUGCAAAGAUGAAAAGUAGAAGACAGUGCAGUCGAUAUAGGGUAUGUGAUAAUAAUCAUACAGUGGCAGAGAGCGGUUAACUAAUUUUAGUGAUAGUAAUAAUCAGUAGUAAUUGUAUUUCUAUUAGAAAACUUAUUUAUAAAGUAUUAUUAUAACAGAUUUAGUUUAUACUUGAUGAUCAUGCUAUGUAAAAGAAUCAUGUAGAUGCGAUAUUUAAUUUAAUAAAGAGUUACACCAACCCC